rnacentral:rRNA from 1 species
UUAAGCGACUAAGCGUACACGGUGGAUGCCCUGGCAGUCAGAGGCGAUGAAGGACGUGCUAAUCUGCGAUAAGCGUCGGUAAGGUGAUAUGAACCGUUAUAACCGGCGAUUUCCGAAUGGGGAAACCCAGUGUGUUUCGACACACUAUCAUUAACUGAAUCCAUAGGUUAAUGAGGCGAACCGGGGGAACUGAAACAUCUAAGUACCCCGAGGAAAAGAAAUCAACCGAGAUUCCCCCAGUAGCGGCGAGCGAACGGGGAGCAGCCCAGAGCCUGAAUCAGUGUGUGUGUUAGUGGAAGCGUCUGGAAAGGCGCGCGAUACAGGGUGACAGCCCCGUACACAAAAAUGCACAUGCUGUGAGCUCGAUGAGUAGGGCGGGACACGUGGUAUCCUGUCUGAAUAUGGGGGGACCAUCCUCCAAGGCUAAAUACUCCUGACUGACCGAUAGUGAACCAGUACCGUGAGGGAAAGGCGAAAAGAACCCCGGCGAGGGGAGUGAAAAAGAACCUGAAACCGUGUACGUACAAGCAGUGGGAGCACGCUUAGGCGUGUGACUGCGUACCUUUUGUAUAAUGGGUCAGCGACUUAUAUUCUGUAGCAAGGUUAACCGAAUAGGGGAGCCGAAGGGAAACCGAGUCUUAACUGGGCGUUAAGUUGCAGGGUAUAGACCCGAAACCCGGUGAUCUAGCCAUGGGCAGGUUGAAGGUUGGGUAACACUAACUGGAGGACCGAACCGACUAAUGUUGAAAAAUUAGCGGAUGACUUGUGGCUGGGGGUGAAAGGCCAAUCAAACCGGGAGAUAGCUGGUUCUCCCCGAAAGCUAUUUAGGUAGCGCCUCGUGAAUUCAUCUCCGGGGGUAGAGCACUGUUUCGGCAAGGGGGUCAUCCCGACUUACCAACCCGAUGCAAACUGCGAAUACCGGAGAAUGUUAUCACGGGAGACACACGGCGGGUGCUAACGUCCGUCGUGAAGAGGGAAACAACCCAGACCGCCAGCUAAGGUCCCAAAGUCAUGGUUAAGUGGGAAACGAUGUGGGAAGGCCCAGACAGCCAGGAUGUUGGCUUAGAAGCAGCCAUCAUUUAAAGAAAGCGUAAUAGCUCACUGGUCGAGUCGGCCUGCGCGGAAGAUGUAACGGGGCUAAACCAUGCACCGAAGCUGCGGCAGCGACGCUGAUGCGUUGUUGGGUAGGGGAGCGUUCUGUAAGCCUGUGAAGGUGUGCUGUGAGGCAUGCUGGAGGUAUCAGAAGUGCGAAUGCUGACAUAAGUAACGAUAAAGCGGGUGAAAAGCCCGCUCGCCGGAAGACCAAGGGUUCCUGUCCAACGUUAAUCGGGGCAGGGUGAGUCGACCCCUAAGGCGAGGCCGAAAGGCGUAGUCGAUGGGAAACAGGUUAAUAUUCCUGUACUUGGUGUUACUGCGAAGGGGGGACGGAGAAGGCUAUGUUGGCCGGGCGACGGUUGUCCCGGUUUAAGCGUGUAGGCUGGUUUUCCAGGCAAAUCCGGAAAAUCAAGGCUGAGGCGUGAUGACGAGGCACUACGGUGCUGAAGCAACAAAUGCCCUGCUUCCAGGAAAAGCCUCUAAGCAUCAGGUAACAUCAAAUCGUACCCCAAACCGACACAGGUGGUCAGGUAGAGAAUACCAAGGCGCUUGAGAGAACUCGGGUGAAGGAACUAGGCAAAAUGGUGCCGUAACUUCGGGAGAAGGCACGCUGAUAUGUAGGUGAAGCGACUUGCUCGUGGAGCUGAAAUCAGUCGAAGAUACCAGCUGGCUGCAACUGUUUAUUAAAAACACAGCACUGUGCAAACACGAAAGUGGACGUAUACGGUGUGACGCCUGCCCGGUGCCGGAAGGUUAAUUGAUGGGGUCAGCGCAAGCGAAGCUCUUGAUCGAAGCCCCGGUAAACGGCGGCCGUAACUAUAACGGUCCUAAGGUAGCGAAAUUCCUUGUCGGGUAAGUUCCGACCUGCACGAAUGGCGUAAUGAUGGCCAGGCUGUCUCCACCCGAGACUCAGUGAAAUUGAACUCGCUGUGAAGAUGCAGUGUACCCGCGGCAAGACGGAAAGACCCCGUGAACCUUUACUAUAGCUUGACACUGAACAUUGAGCCUUGAUGUGUAGGAUAGGUGGGAGGCUUUGAAGUGUGGACGCCAGUCUGCAUGGAGCCGACCUUGAAAUACCACCCUUUAAUGUUUGAUGUUCUAACGUGGACCCGUAAUCCGGGUUGCGGACAGUGUCUGGUGGGUAGUUUGACUGGGGCGGUCUCCUCCUAAAGAGUAACGGAGGAGCACGAAGGUUGGCUAAUCCUGGUCGGACAUCAGGAGGUUAGUGCAAUGGCAUAAGCCAGCUUGACUGCGAGCGUGACGGCGCGAGCAGGUGCGAAAGCAGGUCAUAGUGAUCCGGUGGUUCUGAAUGGAAGGGCCAUCGCUCAACGGAUAAAAGGUACUCCGGGGAUAACAGGCUGAUACCGCCCAAGAGUUCAUAUCGACGGCGGUGUUUGGCACCUCGAUGUCGGCUCAUCACAUCCUGGGGCUGAAGUAGGUCCCAAGGGUAUGGCUGUUCGCCAUUUAAAGUGGUACGCGAGCUGGGUUUAGAACGUCGUGAGACAGUUCGGUCCCUAUCUGCCGUGGGCGCUGGAGAACUGAGGGGGGCUGCUCCUAGUACGAGAGGACCGGAGUGGACGCAUCACUGGUGUUCGGGUUGUCAUGCCAAUGGCACUGCCCGGUAGCUAAAUGCGGAAGAGAUAAGUGCUGAAAGCAUCUAAGCACGAAACUUGCCCCGAGAUGAGUUCUCCCUGACUCCUUGAGAGUCCUGAAGGAACGUUGAAGACGACGACGUUGAUAGGCCGGGUGUGUAAGCGCAGCGAUGCGUUGAGCUAACCGGUACUAAUGAACCGUGAGGCUUAACCUU